rnacentral:rRNA from 1 species
AGCAGCCGCGGUAAUUCCAGCUCCAAUAGCGUAUAUUAAAGUUGCUGCAGUUAAAAAGCUCGUAGUUGAAUUUCGGGGUCAAUAUGUUGGUCGUGCCUUGGUACGUACUAGCUUAUUGAUUUCUCCUUUCUGACGAACCAUGAUGUCAUUAAUUUGGUGUCAUGGGGAAUCAGGACUGUUACUUUGAAAAAAUUAGAGUGUUUAAAGCAGGCUCGCGCUUGAAUACAUUAGCAUGGAAUAAUGAAAUAGGACAUUUGAUUCUAUUUUGUUGGUUUCUAGGAUCGAUGUAAUGAUUAAUAGGGAUAGUUGGGGGCAUUAGUAUUCAAUUGUCAGAGGUGAAAUUCUUGGAUUUAUUGAAGACUAACUACUGCGAAAGCAUUUGCCAAGGAUGUUUUCAUUAAUCAAAAACGAAAGUUAGGGGAUCGAAGACGAUCAGAUACCGUCGUAGUCUUAACCAUAAACUAUGCCGACUAGGGAUCGGAUGAUGUUAAUUUAAUGACUCA